rnacentral:rRNA from 1 species
AGCUUGCUGUUUUUUUGUAGUAAGUGUUUUCUGCCCGGUGUUUAGUAAACGGCCGCGGUAUUUUGACCGUGCAAAGGUAGCAUAAUCAUUUGUUCUUUAAUUGGGGACUGGAAUGAAAGAAAGAAUUGAAACUGGUGCUGUCUCUUUUUUUUGGUUGGAAGUUGCUUUUUUUGUGAAGAAGCAAAGAUUUAAAAAAAAGACAAGAAGACCCUAUUAAGCUUUACUCUUUUUUGCUUUGGAUAUGUGCUUUCGUUUAGUAUUUUUUAUAAGUUUUUAAUUUGAGUUUAGUUGGGGCGACUAAAAAGGAUCAAAAGCCUUUUUUUGUUUUUAAGAUUUUUGGAUUUAAGGAUGACCCAGAAUUUUUUGGCUGAAGGAAUUAGUUACUGUAGGGAUAACAGCGUAAUUUUUUUGUAAAGUUCUUAUUGAAAAUAAAGUUUGCGACCUCGAUGUUGACUUUUUAUUUCCUCUUAAGGUGCAGGAGCUGGGAGGGUUAGUCUGUUCGACUAUUAAAAUAAA